AUCCAGCUGACAAUUCCCAAAUAGGAUGAAACGCGUGUCCUGCAU
rnacentral:hammerhead_ribozyme from 1 species